rnacentral:rRNA from 1 species
GUCUAUAGCCAUACCACCCUGAACGCACUUGAUCACAUCUGAUCUUGGAAGCUAAGCAGGGUCUGGCCUGAUUAGUAGAACUUGGAUGGGAGUUUUGGAAA